rnacentral:rRNA from 1 species
UACAGAGGUCCCAAGCGUUGUUCGGAUUCAUUGGGCGUAAAGGGUGCGUAGGUGGCGUCGUAAGUCAGAUGUGAAAUCUCGGGGCUUAACUCCGAAACUGCAUUUGAUACUGCGGUGCUUGAGGACUGGAGAGGAGACUGGAAUUUACGGUGUAACAGUGAAAUGCGUAGAGAUCGUAAGGAAGACCAGUGGCGAAGGCGGGUCUCUGGACAGUUCCUGACGCUGAGGCGCGAGAGCAAGGGGAGCAAACAGG